UACAGAGGGUGCAAGCGUUGUUCGGAAUUAUUGGGCGUAAAGAGCUCGUAGGCGGUCUGUCGCGUCGAAUGUGAAAACCCGGGGCUCAACUCCGGGCUUGCAUUCGAUACGGGCAGGCUAGAGUUCGGUAGGGGAGUCUGGAAUUCCUGGUGUAGCGGUGAAAUGCGCAGAUAUCAGGAGGAACACCGGUGGCGAAGGCGGGACUCUGGGCCGAUACUGACGCUGAGGAGCGAAAGCGUGGGGAGCGAACAGG
rnacentral:rRNA from 1 species